GGGCGGUUGGCUCAGGGGUAGAGCGCCUCGUUCACACCGAGGAGGUCGCUGGUUCAAAUCCAGCACUGCCCA
rnacentral:tRNA from 2 species